rnacentral:rRNA from 1 species
CCUGUUCCCAUUCCGAACACAGAAGUUAAGCUCUCUAGCGCUGAUGGUACUUGGUGGGAAACUGCCUGGGAGAGUAGGACGUAGCCACGUU